rnacentral:rRNA from 1 species
CACUGCGGUCCAGACGCCGUGUUAAUAGGUAGUGCGCGACGGUUGUGAGUAAUGACUGGGCGUAAUGAGCUCGUAGGUGGUUGGGCGCGGAGUGUGUGAAAUUCCGUGGCUUAACGUAGGGGUGGCAUACGAUACGGGCAUAACUUGAGUGCUGUAGGGGAGACUGGAAUUCCUGGUGUAGCGGUGAAAUGCGCAGAUAUCAGGAGGAACACCGAUGGCGAAGGCAGGUCUCUGGGCAGUAACUGACGCUGAGGAGCGAAAGCAUGGGGAGCGAACAGGAUUAGAUACCCCAGUAGUC